rnacentral:misc_RNA from 1 species
CCACACCUCCCCCCCCAAAAGUCUUCUUGCCAUCCCUAACUCCAUUAUUGCUUUGCUAAUCCUAAUCUGUCUCAUAUUUCAAGAAAAACAGUAUGGAAAGUCCUCUGUAAAGGAAAGAAAUGGGAAGGCUCAAUCAUGAUUCAAGAAUCCACCACUUCAGCCACCCUCAUCCCCUAGAGCUAUCAAACAACAACCUUCAAUCUCUAUCUCCACAUACAACUCCAUGUUCAGCCUGUAAGCUCCAGUCUUCUGGGUGGAUAUACUCUUGUAAGCCCUGCAACUUCACCCUCCACUUGUCAUGCAGCCAACUUCCCUCUUUAAUCAACCACCCAGGCCAUCCCAUCCACCUGCUUACCCUCCUUCCCACCCCAGCUUACCCAGGUGGAGCUUUCAACUGUGAUGGUUGUGGCAGCGAUGGCCAUGGCUUCAGCUACCACUGCAACAAAUGUGGCUUUGAUGUUCACGCUACUUGUGCUCAAAACCCACUUUCACUUGCCCAUCAAUCUCACCCUCACAAUCUGCAUCUCACCUUUCACCCUCCUUACCACACCAAAGGCUUCUCCUGCGAUAUAUGCCAGAAGAUCGGGUCUAACCACUGGCUCUAUCGGUGUGGUCCAUGCGAGUUUGACGCUCACUUGGAGUGUGCAAUGAGUGCUAAUGUUAUGCCAAGGGGUCAGACUCAGGCUCAGGCUCAGGCUCAGGCUCGUUUUCAGCAAUGUCUGAAUUUCCCAGGAACGAAUCAUCAAUACCAGCAACAUGAGAAUAGAGUUCUUCCGCCUUCUAUGCAGAGGAAUAAUGGUACAACUGGUGUGGUGGAUGUACUGGUUCAAGGGUUUCUGGAUGGAGCUGCACAUCCGAGUUUUGUGCAAAGCAGCAUGGGUGAU